rnacentral:rRNA from 1 species
CACGUAGGCGGCUUUUUAAGUCAGGGGUGAAAUCCUGGAGCUCAACUCCAGAACUGCCUUUGAUACUGAGAGGCUUGAGUCCGGGAGAGGUGAGUGGAACUGCGAGUGUAGAGGUGAAAUUCGUAGAUAUUCGCAAGAACACCAGUGGCGAAGGCGGCUCACUGGCCCGGUACUGACGCUGAGGUGCGAAAGCGUGGGAGCAAACA